GUGAAUCAUCGAAUUUUUGAACGCAAAUUGCACUCUCCGGUUUUCCGGGAGAGUAUGCCUGUUUGCGGGUCAGCCUACAUAAGAUCCACAUUGUUGCUGUUUUAUGGUGACUUUCGUCGGACCUUGGACCAUCUUAAAUCCUUUUGAUUUAAUCGACUUACACUUUUCUUUUGUUUCCUUAAACGAUUCUAAG
rnacentral:misc_RNA from 1 species